CCUACGGGUGGCAGCAGUGAGGAAUCUUGGUCAAUGGGCGAGAGCCUGAACCAGCCAAGCCGCGUGAAGGAUGAAGGAUCUAUGGUUUGUAAACUUCUUUUAUAUGGGAAUAAAGUGAGGAACGUGUUCCUUUUUGUAUGUACCAUAUGAAUAAGCAUCGGCUAACUCCGUGCCAGCAGCCGCGGUAAUACGGAGGAUGAGAGCGUUAUCCGGAUUUAUUGGGUGUAAAGGGUGCGUCGGCGGUUAAUUAAGUCAGCGGUGAAAGUGUGGGGCUCAACCAUAGAAUUGCCGUUGAAACUGGGUGACUUGAGUAUAGUUGAGGUAGGCGGAAUUCGUGGUGUAGCGGUGAAAUGCAUAGAUAUCGCGCAGAACUCCGAUUGCGAAGGCAGCUUACUAGACAAUAACUGACACUGAGGCACGAAAGCGUGGGGAUCGAACAGGAUUAGAUACCCCUGUAGUC
rnacentral:rRNA from 1 species